rnacentral:lncRNA from 1 species
CUCAGAAGCACCUCAUUCAGCACCCAUGGCUUCUGCUUGAGCUCCCCUUGGGCCAGGUGUCCUGCAGCACUGCUCUCACACUGUGCCUCAUCUCUGCUCUGUGCAGGUGGAAUCUAACAGGAUAUACACACACUGCUUGCUUGUAUGCUGGAGCUCCAGGGGGAUCAGCACAGCUCUUUGGGCUCUGUGCUCGUUGCAUUUGCCUGUGGAUGGAAGGAGAUCUGCAGGAGUCAGUGGUUCAGCACACAGGCAGAGAUGGGAGGAGAAAGCAGCCCUGUUUUGUGACAGGUGAUGAUGACACCUGCUUGCUGCUGGCUCUGACGCAGUUAGGAGAACACACAAAGGAGGAUGCCUUUGGAGACCUGAUGGGACAUGGAGGCCUGAGCUCCUCCCCAAGCACAAGGGAAUGCAGUUACUAAAAUGUAACCCUGGACUUUGGGGUGCUGCUGUCUGCUGGAAGGAUGGAUGGGACCAAAAGGUGGGACACCUGCACCAGCACAUACACACCUGGUGAGCUCUGGAAGCUGCUUUUGCAGGAAGAAAAGGUGUUUUUAAUGGGAAGCCUGCAGCGUACAUCGCAUCCUGCUGCCUACCUACCGUGGCCCCUUGCACCCUUUGCCUGUGAUAGUGUUUCUUCAGUCAUUCUCCGUUUGUUUGUUUGUUUGUUUUUCCCCUUCCCUUUCCCCCACAACCAAUUUCUCUUUCCUGAGCUUUUAUUUGCAUUUAUCCUCAGUGAAUUUUCUCUG